UGAACCUGGAAGGCAGGAUGCUAGAUA
rnacentral:piRNA from 1 species